rnacentral:rRNA from 2 species
GACUGCUAAUACCGGAUGUGCCGAGAGGUGAAAGGCUUGCUGCCUGAAGAUGAGCUCGCGUCUGAUUAGCUAGUUGGUGGUGUAAGGGACUACCAAGGCGACGAUCAGUAGCUGGUCUGAGAGGAUGAUCAGCCACACUGGGACUGAGACACGGCCCAGACUCCUACGGGAGGCAGCAGUGGGGAAUUUUCCGCAAUGGGCGAAAGCCUGACGGAGCAAUACCGCGUGAGGGAGGAAGGCUCUUGGGUUGUAAACCUCUUUUCUCAGGGAAUAAAAAAAUGAAGGUACCUAAGGAAUAAGCAUCGGCUAACUCCGUGCCAGCAGCCGCGGUAAUACGGAGGAUGCAAGCGUUAUCCGGAAUGAUUGGGCGUAAAGCGUCCGCAGGUGGUAUGUCAAGUCUGCUGUCAAAGAGUGAGGCUUAACCUCAUCAAGGCAGUGGAAACUGCGAGACUAGAGUGCGUUCGGGGCAGAAGGAAUUCCUGGUGUAGCGGUGAAAUGCGUAGAGAUCAGGAAGAACACCGGUGGCGAAAGCGUUCUGCUAGGCCGCAACUGACACUGAGGGACGAAAGCUAGGGGAGCGAAUGGGAUUAGAUACCCAGUAGUCC